UCAAGGACGAACGAUAGAGAGUCCUUUGCGCGUUAAAAAGUGUGCUAACACAGAGUUGUCUGAAUGUUGAGUGUUGAAUAUCUGAUUAGUGGCGGACGGGUGAGUAACGCGUGGGGAACCUGCCCUAUACAGGGGGAUAGCCUCGGGAAACCGGGAUUAAUACCCCAUAAAACUCUAGUAUCGCAUGAUACGUGAGUCAAAGCUGAGGCGGUAUAGGAUGGCCCCGCGUCUGAUUAGCUAGUUGGUGAGGUAACGGCUCACCAAGGCGACGAUCAGUAGCCGGCCUGAGAGGGUGGACGGCCACACUGGAACUGAGACACGGUCCAGACUCCUACGGGAGGCAGCAGUAGGGAAUAUUGGACAAUGGGCGCAAGCCUGAUCCAGCCAUGCCGCGUGAGUGAAGAAGGCCCUCGGGUUGUAAAGCUCUUUUGUCCGGAAAGAAAAGCGCCGGGUUAAUACCCUGGUGUCCUGACGGUACCGGAAGAAUAAGCACCGGCUAACUUCGUG
rnacentral:rRNA from 1 species